AAAAUAAUACGAACAUCUGCAGGCUUUCGUGGUGAUUCCAUUACGAUCUGCAGCACUUCAAAUCAUUUUUCAAAACGAGUAUAAAAUACGAAGCAUUCUGGCAGGAUUAUUCAGAUUAUACCCAGUAUAUUGUAACUUCUAGACUAUCGGGCACUUCAACGCUAUGUCUCCUUAUUUCUCGAUGAGUUUUAAAUGGAUUAUCUUCGCGAGCUUGUUAAUUUUGGUGGUCAUUCAAGAAGUUGUGGGUCCAGAGGAAACUGGCUGGGUUGUAUUAACUGAUGGUAAAGGCGGAGCAAUGCAGUAUGAACGAAAAUGACGACGAUAGGUACAGUAAAAUAUGCCUUUUCUCACUCAAGAAAAUCUUCCUCUUACCACCAGUACCACGAGCCUAUUGCUGUAAAUAUUAGAAAUUAUUGUUAAAUCUAUUAUUUUAAUAUCUCAACAAGCUACAAAUAAAUCUUUAUCGGCCGAUUUUCAA